UACCAAUGGAGGGGUCCAAGCCUCGGCGGUUAAGUUCUCUGUACUCUUGGCAAAGAGCACAGGGCUCGCACAGGAAGUGGACGAUCCAAUCCUGCGCAGGCGACUCCACAAGCCCAAACUUGCUCCUGAGCUUCGAUCGGUUGUGCCGCCGUCGAUGAUCUCUGCAAUUUGGCCGAAGGUCAAGAAUGGGAAGAAGAACGUAACAGCAGCUGAAACAUGAGAGACAUAAUAAAUAUUAGAAACUAGAUCUUGAUCUGAUCUUGAUAAUAGAUGGGUUAUUGCCAUGUGAAACAGUCACUAGUAAAAAAGAAUAACCUAAAGAGUCGUGACACGCACACAUAAAUAUAACAACCAUGCAUGUCUACGUACAUAACCCAGGUUGGAUUUCAGACACUAUGAAAAAGGGUGUUGCAAGAGAUUUAUGUCUAUUUAAUAUUUUUUUGGUAAACUCGUAUGAUAGCCCUACCGUUCAUGGGGUCGUCCAUGCAAUCAAACAG